UGUCGGGUGACGCCGGAGCUUCGCUCACCGAGACGGGUAGCUUAAAGAGACGACAGCGAAGCCGGGUCUGGUCUUCAGAGGAGAAAUAAAUCACUUAAAAACUAAAAUUUAAGGACCAUGUCGCGGCAUACCACGUAGGAAAUUCACACACAGGUUUCCAGAGAAGGGUGGACUAUAUUGGUUGAACACAUUACCUCUGGUUCUGUUUGGAUCUGCUUGCAGCAGUGUUUGAACAUGAAAAAUGUUUGCUGUACCACCUUAGACUGACUUCAAGGAAACCAUGAGGAGCACAAGGGAAAGUUCACUGGUUGCAGUUUGGUUCCACUAGCAGGAAUUGUGUAUGUGUCCGUGUUAAAGAGAUUGUGCGGGUGCAUGUGUGCGUGCGUGCGUGCGUGUGCGUCUGUAUGUGUGCGUAUGCUACCAUUACCUGCCUGCUUCAGGCAGUGACAUGCUAUUCUGAGGGCAGAAGCGCAGGAAAGUUCACAUCCACCAAAGGAUUAAUGCGAGGAGGACGCUUUCGGUGAUACCCACUGCAUCUGCAGAAGACAUCAGUUCCUGCUCCUCUGAAAUCUACAGUACAUAGAUACUUUUCAACCCCUUUACCUGUUUUGUGUUGGUACCACCGUCCCCACACAUUCCCUGAGGGUUGUUUUGAAACCUCUCUGUUUUGCAUGGCAGGGGAGUAAUCGUGGAGAGGCCAGGGUAUCACAAGCUUAUGGAUUUUGAAAAGAGAGGUGGGAAGGGGGAGACCGAGGAAAGCAAAAGGAUGUCCAAAGCAGCCAGUAGUAGGACUGGUCAUGGGGGACGAGGAACUGGGACCACCUCUGGGGUCCUUAUGGUUGGGCCCAACUUCAGAGUUGGGAAGAAGAUUGGCUGUGGAAACUUUGGUGAACUUCGGCUGGGCAAGAACCUCUACACCAAUGAAUAUGUGGCCAUCAAACUGGAGCCAAUCAAAUCUAGGGCGCCACAGCUCCAUUUGGAGUAUAGAUUUUAUAAACAGCUGGGAAAUUCAGAGGGGGUUCCUCAGGUCUUCUACUUUGGGCCGUGCGGUAAAUACAACGCAAUGGUUUUGGAACUACUGGGACCGAGUCUAGAGGACCUGUUUGACCUCUGCGACCGCACCUUCUCCCUCAAGACCGUCCUAAUGAUCGCUAUCCAACUGAUAACACGGAUGGAGUAUGUUCACACGAGGAGCUUGAUAUAUCGAGACGUCAAGCCAGAGAAUUUCUUGGUGGGCCGGCCGGGAUCUAAGAGGCAGCACACCAUUCAUAUUAUCGACUUCGGGCUUGCCAAAGAAUACAUAGACCCAGAGACCAAAAAACACAUCCCAUACCGGGAACAUAAGAGCUUGACCGGCACCGCUCGAUACAUGAGUAUCAACACACACUUGGGGAAAGAACAAAGCAGAAGGGACGAUCUGGAAGCACUGGGCCAUAUGUUUAUGUAUUUUCUGCGAGGCAGUUUGCCCUGGCAGGGCUUGAAGGCAGACACACUGAAAGAACGCUACCAGAAAAUAGGGGACACCAAGCGAUCUACACCUAUCGAAGUGCUAUGUGAAAGUUUUCCAGAGGAGAUGGCAACCUAUCUGAGAUACGUGAGAAGGCUGGACUUCUUUGAAAAACCGGAUUACGAUUACUUAAGGAAGCUCUUCACAGAUCUUUUCGACAGGAACGGCUACGUGUUCGAUUACGAGUACGACUGGGUCGGCAAGCCACUCCCUACACCUAUAGGCCCCAUUCCCACAGACACACCCCAGCCCAGCAGCAGAGACAAAGCACAACAGCAGAUCAAAAACCAGUCACCCGAACCCAAAGGAAGUGAGUCCCUGCCCACUCCAGUGACCACUAUGGAGACUCUGGGGUCGCACCUUACAGUGGACAGGUUGGGGGGCUCAGUCCAGGUCAUAAGCUCCACAAAUGGAGAGCUGAACACUGAUGACCCAACUGCAGGACACUCCAAUGCCCCCAUCACUGCACCGGCUGAAGUAGAGGUGGCCGACGACACAAAAUCCCUUUGAGUUGUGGCAGUGAACGCCAGUGGGCGGAGCCAACGAUACGAUGAUGUGCCGUGUCUUUCUCUUUGGCAGAGAAGGGAGAAGCUACAGACCUGAAGCAGGUGCUGUUGUUUCUUCAAGCGAAGAAAGAGGAAAGCUCUCCAGAGGCACAAGUGAUGAAGAGCGCUUUUAAGAACUUGAAUCAUUCUGGUCACUGUUGAGUUUGAAAUGCAAGCAAAUACACAGAUCUCUCUCUGUCUUUCUCUCUUUCUUUCUUUCUUUCUAUGUCUCUCUUUCAGUGCCCAUCACACUUGAUUUCAAAAACGCUUGACCAUUUAUUGGAGUGCAAAGGAAUGUUGACAGUCCAACAGACUCUGAAUCCUUCAAAAAAACAAAGAGAAUAAAUGAAGAUUCUUAAGAUGUGUGUAAUCACACAAAAACACUUAAAGAUAUGAAAUGAAAAAGAUUAUACAAAAAGAUGAUACAAGACUACAGUUAUGUGAACAGAUGCUGUUUGAAACAGUUGGUGUAUUCUAAAUUCCAAGCAGAUCAUUUUCUGAUCAGGGAGAUGAAACAUCGAUUGAUGAAAUGAUAUUUUAAGUUUUCUUAGGAAUAGGUCUUAUUUGUGGCCAACGUAAGGGCGGGACUCGACUCGGCACUGGAGAUGACACUCACAAAAGUGCGAAAGUAACAGGACACGAUUCAUCUCAACCAGACUCUGGAGUCUUUUGUUUUUCUGUAAUUUAAUUUUUGAUUCUUUGCAGAGGAAUCCCUGGGUUGUAAAGCAGUUGUAGUGUCCUGGAAAUGCUUUCUUUUUGUUUUCUUGUUUGUUUGUUUGUUUGUUUUUUUAAUAUAAACUCCAUUUCCUUUUUUCUGUCAAUGUGAACUCCUGUAGCACAGUUACUGGCCUCAGGUACUGUGGGGGACGGAGAGACAAAUGGAUAUUAUUUUCUUGUCAAUGUUGUUAUUGCACUUUGGAUUAAAGAAGGCAACACAGUGGGCUUGAAAUUUAAAGGAGGAGAAAAACGACGUGCCGUACAAAUGGAUGUGGGAGCUUUCCUGCACAGGGCUGAUAUCUGUCCAAGGACUGUUUAAGGAAAAGAAGAAAAUGUACUUCUGUUUUAUUUCUCAUCAAAUUUAUUUACCAGGAAAUCAUAGUUUGUGCCUUUCCAAGUAAAAUGUUUAAAAUUGAAGCAAA